rnacentral:rRNA from 1 species
GCCAUUAGUUGCUACGAAAGGGCACUCUAAUGGGACUGCCGGUGACAAACCGGAGGAAGGUGGGGAUGACGUCAAGUCCUCACUGGCCCUUAUAGGUGGGGCUACACACGUCAUACAAUGGCCGGUACAGAGGGUAGCCAACCCGCGAGGGGGAGCCAAUCCCACAAAGCCGAUCGUAGUCCGGAUCGCAGUCUGCAACUCGACUGCGUGAAGUCGGAAUCGCUAGUAAUCGUGGAUCAGCAUGUCACGGUGAAUACGUUCCCGGGUCUU